rnacentral:rRNA from 1 species
UUCGGUGGUACUCGAGCGGCGAACGGGUGAGUAACACGUGAGUAAUCUGCCCUUCACUUGGGGAUAACCUCCGGAAACGGUGGCUAAUACCCGAUACGACCAUUCCAGGCAUCUGGUGGUGGUGGAAAGUUUUUUCGGUGGGGGAUGUGCUCGCGGCCUAUCAGCUUGUUGGUGGGGUAAUGGCCUACCAAGGCUUCGACGGGUAGCCGGCCUGAGAGGGUGACCGGCCACACUGGGACUGAGACACGGCCCAGACUCCUACGGGAGGCAGCAGUGGGGAAUAUUGGACAAUGGGCGGAAGCCUGAUCCAGCAACGCCGCGUGAGGGAUGACGGCCUUCGGGUUGUAAACCUCUUUCACCGAUGACGAAGCGCAAGUGACGGUAGUCGGAGAAGAAGCACCGGCCAACUACGUGCCAGCAGCCGCGGUAAUACGUAGGGUGCGAGCGUUGUCCGGAAUUAUUGGGCGUAAAGGGCUCGUAGGCGGUUUGUCGCGUCGGGAGUGAAAACACGGGGCUUAACUCCGUGCUUGCUUUCGAUACGGGCAGACUAGAGGUAUGCAGGGGAGAACGGAAUUCCUGGUGUAGCGGUGAAAUGCGCAGAUAUCAGGAGGAACACCGGUGGCGAAG